UGUGGGAGCUGGCUUGCCUGCGAUGGCGGUGGGUCAAUCAAUGAAUGUGGCAGCUGACGGAUCGCCAUCGCAGGCAAGCCAGCUCCCACA
rnacentral:misc_RNA from 1 species